GAAGGAGUGGAAGCAUGCAGCCAUUUGACAACAUCCUGACCAACAGCAAUUUCUAUUUUGUAGGAUGUGCUUUUGUAUGCGCUCCCAACAAUUUUUAAUUGGGGAUGUUAAAAUUCCAAAUACAUAUUUCGAUACAUAUUGACCCUUUUAAUAAAUUAGCCAAUAUAGGUUUUGUUAAUGGGGCAAAUUAUGGCUACAACAAUCAAACUAUAUAGAAAUAAUAAAAUAAAUACAUGGUGCACAAGUCAGCCAACCAGACACUUCCAUAAACGCCAUACAUGAGAUUCCUCAAAAUAUGUAAUUUAUCAUAUUACCGUUGUGACAAACCUACAAAAUUAGGCACUCUUUUUCUUCGAACAUGUAACUGCAAUGCCACAUUUAUCAUGUUAGUGAUACAUUUAUUAUCUUAAUGCUGCAUUAAUCAUCUGAAUGCUAAAUUUCAUGCAAACCAAAUGAGCAUACAAUAUCUAUCAAAUCAGAUACUGAUUUGAGACACUCCCUAGUAUGUUAUUCAUCUUCCUAUCAUAACCAUAUACCGUAUUUACAUGUAACAGGCCGGUGCAUAUUACUCAAUUGCAUUUACUGUGUGUUUACUGUAACAUUAGCCAUCAUGCAUACCAAAUGGAAUUACAGCACUGCCAUGCUUUGAAUACAUUUUGUUUAUAUUUGUUGUUUGUUACAUUUUGUUUACAUUAAAAUGCAUGGCAGAAGCUUUAAUGAUCACGAUCAUUCACUAAGUUACCAAAGCAGAUGGUUUGUGAUGAACAUAAAUUCCUCGUCGUUGCCGCGAACACGGUCCACAUUAGCAGGGUAUUGUAGUCCUUUCAUGGUUAGUUGAUUAUCGUUUCAGUUGGUUUUCUUUUCUCUUGAUUUUCUUGGAUAAACAAAUGAACGAACAAACAAACAAACACUUUUUUUGAAAACAAACUUGUCAUGUUUUCAUGUACACAUUAUGUUUCGUAUGGUAUAUAAUGUGGUAUAUAAAUGCAGUACACAAAAGCCCUGUUUACAUCUGGAUUCAACAUGCAUCCUUCGUCCUGGUCUUGUCGACUUUCCAAUUGUUCCCACAUUUGUUGACAGGUGUAGACAAUCAAAAAACCCACUGUGAUCUGAUCGUGAUCAGAUCUUCCUGCCCACCUCUGGAGGAAGUCCUAGUCGGGCACACGAUAUGUCUGGACAUCCGAAUUGUUGCAACACUGACCUGUGGCAUCCAUAUGUGGGUAAAAAUUAAAAAUAAAUGUUUUUAAAAUAUCUGUCAAAUAAUUUGCAUUUAGGCAAGAAAUCUUGUCAUAGUGUGAUGCGUUAUACCACGUGAGGAUGCGUGUCGGGGUCAAGGCGCAGGACGCAUAUUAGUGGCAGAUGUAAACGAGGCCAAGGCUGGUAAUCUGUAAUGUUUGUAUUCAUGUGAAAAUCUCAUUAGAAAAUCACUUUUAAAUAAUCUGAUCAUCUUGUUUCCCAGUUUGUCUUGUGUUAUAAAGAUGUGUGCGACCGAGAACAAAACCUGUCUCACCCUACUGUCUUUCUUUCACAGGGCUGGAUUGUCAGUCCCAAAUAAACAUUAGCUCUAUAGACCUUAUAUAAUAAUAUGCAUUAACACUCUGGACCCUAUAUGAUAAUACACAGUAACACUCUGAACCCUGUAUUAUAAUACACAGUAACACUCUGAACCCUGUAUUAUAAUACACAGUAACACUCUGGACCC
ensembl:lncRNA